CUUUACUGUAUCUUGAAAUUGAUGAUUAAAUUUUUCUGCAUAGAAUAAGUGGGAGGCUUUGACACUUUUUUUUGGAAAAAGUUGAGCCAACGUUGGAAUACCACUCUUAAAAAUUUAAAAAUCUAACUUUAUUCCGUAAGCCGGGUAAAAAACAGUUUCUGGUGGGCAGUUUGACUGGGGCGGUCACCUCCUAAAAAGUAACGGAGGUGUACAAAGGUUUCCUCAAGUCGGUUAGAAAUCGCUUUAAGAGUGCAAAGGCAAGAGGAAGCUUAACUGUGAGACAGACAAGUCGAUCAGAGACGAAAGUCGGUCUUAGUGAUCUGACAUUGCUGUGUGGAAAGGAUGUCACUCAACGGAUAAAAGUUA
rnacentral:rRNA from 1 species